UGGCUGAAUGGCCAAAGUGAGUGGCAUUAGCACUUUCAGAAGAUGAUUACUCUUGUAAUAAUCUUAAUUAUAGGUGAGUUAAAAAUCUUAAGCUUUUUAUUAAACUGCAAACGGCAGUCAAUGGGACACUGGCAAUUUUAACCUGAAUUUUUAAGUUUCUUUUGCAAUAUUAAAAUACAUCUAUAACUUUUGCAAAGUAAGACCCAAUUUUAAACAGUUUAUUCUCCUUAAAAUCAAUACUAGAAACAUCACUACCAUGUUACAAAGUUUGGCUGCCAAUUCAUGAAUGCAUAAUAGUGCAAAUUUUAAUGUUCUAUUAACGAGACAUUGUUUUAAAAUCUUAUCUCUAUAAGUCUACAUUCUAGGAUAAGAAUUACAUAAAAUAUUAUCUCAAUUUAGGAAUAUCUUUAGAGGACUAGUUUUCUGGGCUGGUUUAUGCCAGGUGCUUUUGUUUGAAAAUGACUCUAGCCCUGAGUUACUAUUUUAAGCUAACUUUGUUACCAGUGUUACACCUUUUUAAUCACAUCCAAAUAACUUAUAAGCCAAUUCUCUAUGACCAAGAUAUGCAGAUCAUAUUUAUACCUUUAAGACCAAUCAAAAACCAAAUGAAGUGGCUACAUGAAUCUUAUAAAUUUAGAUCAAAGAAUUUUACUUUUUAUACUUUUUAAUUAUAAGAUAAAAAGCAAUUUGUCAUUUGCUAAACACAAUAAUCACAAAAUUGCAGAGAAUUUUUUAAAGGAAAAACAACUAUCAGCUUAUUUGCCUUAGAAUUAAGAUGUUGCAGACUCCUUUUCUUUAAAAACAAGUUUUUCAGCAGGACCUCUCCUGCUGUGAUUGAUUUUUGGCUAAAGUGAGGGGCCUCUCUCAGCCUCCAUUGUGCAAACUGAGGGUGAAUCAGCAGGUAAAGUUUUAACCAUUUAAUUUUUUCUUUGGAAACAAUCAUUCAGACAAUGAAACAAAAGACAUACUUGAAUUGACAUGUGAUUGGUGCACCAAAUAUACACAAUACAAAGAGGGUAGAGAAAUUCUCCUGUAGGGGCCAGAGAGGAUAAAACAGGGCGUCCCCCGAUUUCUCUCUGUCCCUGGGAGAGUUCUAAAAUCCAUUUUCCUCUAUCCCUUCCUUUCCUUUCCUGUUUGUACGAGGCAGCUCGUAAAAUCAAGAUUAAAAUCCAAAAUUUUCUAACAGCUUCUGGCAAGCACCCAAAACUUCUAAUUUAUUUAAUCUGAGGUCAUUGUUUUGAGAAAAUACACAAUCUCUAUACACUAAAUGUGUCAAGUAGCCUAAAAGUUUACCAUGCUGAAUCAUUUUUGAAGCCAUCAUCAGUCCACACUUAGUCAAAUAUUUUAUAGCCAUCUGCAAAACGCUCUCUACUUUCUGUAACCAACAAAAAUACCAUCUAUAGAAUGAAUUAUAUAUGUUUGAGGAGAUGACUUCUUAACUUCUAAUAAAGCCUUUUCUAUGAAUUUUUGGCACAAUGUAGGAUUGGGGAGUUGUAAAUAAGGUGACAGUAAGAAGUGACCUAUAUUUUGACAUUUAUGAAGUCUCCUUUUAUACUUUAACCAUAACUUUUAAUUUUACCUACAGUAUUAGAAUCCACAGCUUGAAGUUUUUCUUAUAACUGCAGCUGUGUCCUAUAAUGAGCUCCACAGUUCCUGAACGAGGCUAAGAGACUGCCCCUUUAGUUUUUUGCCUUACCUGCUUCUUUAGUGAGCAGAGUCCCAUCUUCGUGGAAUUUUGAUUUGCAAUCAUUCUCCAGUGCUUUCCUUUGCUACAGUGCGGGCAGGGACACGAAGGAAUGCUCUUCUUGUCUCCCAAGAGAUUUUUACAAUCUUUUCUCAGGUGCCCCGGUUUUUUACAACAGAAACAUGUAAUUUCAUAAGUAUUUCUGACAUAGGCACCGAAUUUCUACCCUUUCCUUGCUGCAGCAUAAGCUACCCCCCUGAAUUACGGCUGGUGAGGCAUCUACACAUGCUUUAAUAUAAUCUUGUAGAGAACUUGUCUUACGGAUUGGUCUGUUCAGGUCUUGGCAGAAGGUAUUCACGUAUUCCCAAGCCAACUGUUUUAUUAAUACAUCAGUCCCUUCCGAGGGAGGAAGCAUCCUACCUACUCCCUUCCAAUCCUCUAAUGUCAAGCUUCCCUCCUCUGGAAACCAGGGACUGAUUUUUUGCACGAAAUCAUAAAAUUUAUGCGAGACCUUUAGGCCUCUUCCAGAUAACAUGUGCUUAAAGACUGAAGAAACAACCUCUUCCCUUUCGAUUCUGACUGUCCCAUGAUAAAACUUGUCUCUUAACUGAUCUACGAAUCAACCCAUCUGCAGCACGGUCACGACGAGAUCCUAUCUUUGCCUGAGAAAAUAAAGACUAG
rnacentral:lncRNA from 1 species